GACCACUCGAUAUAUAUAAAUCCUUUGGUUUUUCCAAGUUCAUCGUUCGCAAUGACCGGUGGAAGAUUCAUGGCGAUAGCAGCUAUCCUCGGUCUCUUCCUCCUUCCGCUGGCAUUUGCUGGACGACUUCUACCCCGGGAUGAAGUGCACAUCCGUGGCAUUUUACCAUCGUCAGUUGGUCAUCUGCGGGCACGCAGGAUGAUAGACGUGAUACAUAGACAUCCACCACCACGUAUGGGGGGACAGGCUUCUACGCCACCUAUUCACCACUAACUGCUCGAAUCUGAGCCAACUGCAGGAAUGGUUAAAUAAAUUCGGAUACUUUUGUAGUCUCAAUCAAUGCAUCAAUUUACGAUUGUUGAAUACAUAUAAUAGUACACGUAUACGCGCUUGCCAUGAGCGGUUUAUUAUUUUGUAACAAUAAUAGUUUGUAUUUGGCUGGAUCUCAUUGGCAUUUUGCUAUACAUCAGAUUUAGAAUUUAAUGGUA